rnacentral:rRNA from 1 species
AUAGUACCCUACAAUUUCUAUCCGCCCGNNAACUCACACAUGCCACCAGCUUAAAACCCAAAGGACUUGGCGGUGCUUUAGACCCACCUAGAGGAGNNUCUUACUAGAACCGCUCACCCGCCGGUUACACUUAACUGAUGGUUAUGUCGAUCCGCCUAUAUACCGCCGUCGUCAGCUUCCCCUGUGAAGGCCGUCGUAGCAAUUGCCGCCAACGUCAGGCAGGUGUACGUCAAGUCGGAAGAAGAUGGGCUACAUUCUCUGACCCAGAAAAUUUUACGGAAGGACAAAUGAAAAGCAAACCCGAAGGAGGAUUUAGCAGUAAGCAGAAAGUAGAGCGUUCU